GCACUGUUGGUGUAGUGGUAACAUACUCGCUCCCUCGUUAUGAAACUGGAGCGGUCCGGGGUUCGAUUCCCCGACGGUGCC